rnacentral:tRNA from 1 species
CGGGAUGUGGCGCAGUUUGGCUAGCGCGCUUGCUUUGGGAGCAAGAAGCCGGGGGUUCAAAUCCCUCCAUCCCGACCA